rnacentral:lncRNA from 1 species
UUACCUAAACCAUUUUAACAAAUAAAUGCAACAUCUUUCCCCAUUUAUUUUCCUCCCUUGCAGUCUGGUGCAGAGAAGAACCCUCACAGCCCUGGACUGUAGCAGAUAUUCUGGUUCGCAUGUUCCAUAUGAAGGAAGCCAUGUAUUAAAUUGGGAUGAGCCCUUGCAUUUCAUCACAGAAAACUCUUCCUUGGGGCCUUCAUUCCUUCUUGAUAUCCCCUGAGGACGUGGUAGAUGGAGUAAGAUCACUUCCAGGCAAGCUGUAAAGAAAUAUUGAUUCAAAGACAGCAUCCAACUUUAAGAUUAUAAAAUGUAAGGAAGCAGUCUAACAUCAGUGCUGCAUGGGAGUGGGAGGGAAGAGAAAAGAGGCAGUAAACAUGCAAUGUGUCCUGAAGCUGUUUUGUGUCUUCUGCACAGUCAAGCAGACAAAACAAAGGAGAGGCUGAAUCCUUCCUCCUGUGCCUUGGGCUCCACAGAGAGCAUAAGAUCAUCAUCAUUAUCCUGCUCUACCUCAGUGAAGAGUCCCUGAAACAGAAGGGAUAACUGAUACUGGAAGCAGUCUCCCCUGCUCAGGGAGUUUUGUGUCUCAGAAUGCACCUUGCUGAUGAAUGUCUGCUGUCUGGAGAUUCUGGACCUGUACAAUUACUGGCCUGGCACAUUGCAGCAAGACUAGCUGCCUGGCUAGGUACAAAAUGGCUAAGGGACACAGAUAAUUCAGGUAUUUUUCUCCAGUGAAAUCCUUCCGGUGACAUCCUGAAGUCAUAAUACAUGCACAAAGAUAUUGAUGUCUUUCGCACCUGAAUGCUGGCACCUUUCUUUGACACAAAAUAGAUUUAACCUAAGUCCAGAGACACCCAGUGCACUAACAGGCAAACGUUGGUGGAAUGACCUUUGGAAAUCAUAAUUCUUAGGGCCUCUGCCACUGGUUUAUUUAGCAUACUUUCCAAGAAAUGUGAGCUGUGACUUUACUUUUCAUGUGGUGCUGUCCAUGCACACUCUAAUACACAGGGGUUCCAUAUGUUAAAUAUCCACUUUUCUCCUUGACAGUGUCCUGCCUCCUACCAUACUUACCAUGCCCAUUUCCUAACAUAUGCCCUUCCCAAUUUUCCUGCCUGAUUCCUCUCUGCUCUUUCCCUCACCUCCUAUUCCUGCCAUUCCAGAAUAUUCUCUACCCACUUCUAGCUCCAUCAUUUUGUUCACCCUGCUUCUCUCAUGUCUAAUGC